GCCUGUUCUCAUGAACCAUAUGUUCAAAAAGCUACAAAAAGUUAAGCAUUGUAAUUCGUAAGCAUUCGUCAAUUUCUUUGCUUUAUGCGACACAUUAACGGAUGCUUUGUAAGA